GACGAACGCUGGCGGCGUGCCUAACACAUGCAAGUCGAACGAAGCAUAGCAAUAUGCUUAGUGGCGGACGGGUGAGUAACGCGUGAACAAUCUGCCCUGUACAAAGGAAUAGCCUCGGGAAACCGGGAUUAAAACCGUAUGACACUUUAGUAUCGCAUGAUAAGAAAGUCAAAUCGAAUAGAGGUAUGGGAUGAGUUCGCGUCUGAUUAGCUGGUUGGCGGGGUAACGGCCCACCAAGGCGACGAUCAGUAGCCGGCCUGAGAGGGUGAACGGCCACACUGGAACUGAGACACGGUCCAGACUCCUACGGGAGGCAGCAGUGGGGAAUAUUGCACAAUGGAGGGAACUCUGAUGCAGCGACGCCGCGUGAGGGACGAAGGCCCUUGGGUCGUAAACCUCUUUUGCAGGGGAAGAAGAAGAUGACGGUACCUUGCGAACAAGUCCCGGCUAACUACGUG
rnacentral:rRNA from 1 species